rnacentral:rRNA from 1 species
AAACUGUGAUAAGGGAACACCGAGUGCUCGCAUCAAAUGCGGGCUGUCCACAUACCUAAAUGGUAUGUGUUAGCAAGGGCCGGGCAAGACCGGUGCCAGCCGCCGCGGUAAUACCGGUGGCCCGAGUGGUAGCCGCUUUUAUUGGGUCUAAAGGGUCCGUAGCCUGUCUGAUCAGUCCAUUGGGAAAUCCGGAUGCUCAACAUCCGGGCUUCCAGUGGAUACUGUCAGACUUGGGAUCGGGGGAGGUAAGAGGUACUACAGGGGUAGGAGUGAAAUCUUGUAAUCCUUGUGGGACCACCUGUGGCGAAGGCGUCUUACCAAAACGAGUCCGACGGUGAGGGACGAAAGCUGGGGGCACGAACCGGAUUAGAUACCCGGGUAGUCCCAGCCGUAAACGAUGCUCGCUAGGUGUCAGGCAUGGCGUGACUGUGUCUGGUGCCGAAGGGAAGCCGUGAAGCGAGCCACCUGGGAAGUACGGCCGCAAGGCUGAAACUUAAAGGAAUUGGCGGGGGAG